UCUCUCCUCUCUCAUUGCAAAUGGCGAAAGGAAAGGCGAUUGAUGCCGUGAUCGGAAAAUCAAAUCGAUUCACCUCGAUUCCCAUGAAGUUUCCGGCUAAAAUUGGAGGUUUGUUGGUCACCCGGCUAAAAUUGGCUUUACGACCUUCUCUCCGAGUCUGAACUCCACCGACGACAGCAAAUUUAACGGCAAAAGAAGAAACCGAAACAAGGAAGAACAAUACCAUAUAUCUCGUUGCAACUGUCCGGAUUCGAACAAUGGAAUCAAAGCUCAUGCUUGUGUAUUAGGAAAUGUAGAAGCAGAGGAGUUACGCUUGCUUCCAUACUUUAUGAAAGCUGUAGAUGUUUGUCCUGUAACAGAGAAGCCGGAGAAACUGGUGAAGAUGUAGAGGAGGAAGUUAGUGAAUUGAUCUCAUGGAGAUGAUUAUGGAGAUGAUUGUGGCAAAGGCGUUGUAUCACGUUUGUAUAUUGAAGAUGAGGUCGUGGUGAGUCUACAAUGGUAUGCUGCUCUUUCUCAGCAACGUAAAAAGAGACAGAUCCCUAAAACAUUGGCGUCGGUUGAUGCUCUAGAGAAGUUCACCUAACUCUCAACUCUCAAUCAAAGAAGGUUAGGUUGUUGGUGGUGCUGAUCUUGUGGUGACUGCUUCAUCGGACAAGUUAAGUCACGAUUAUGCGUACAAUACAAACUCCUAUUCCGGUUUUUAAUUGUUAUAUCUACUACUUGUACAUCAUCUAUGUAGG